rnacentral:misc_RNA from 1 species
UCUCCGUUGGUGAACCAGCGGAGGGAUCAUUACAGGACUCGCAAGACUCCUACAACCCUGUGAACUUAACUAUAAGCACGUUGCUCCGGCGGGUGUCUCGGAGGGGGUUCUCCCUCCCCGAGACGCUAAACCCGCCGGCAGCCUACUAUACUCUGUCUCUUUGCGUUGGCAUCUCGAGUACAAUCAAACAAGUUAAAACUUUCAACAACGGAUCUCUUGGUUCUG